rnacentral:rRNA from 1 species
AGUGAACGCUGGCGGUAGGCCUAACACAUGCAAGUCGAACGGCAGCACAGUAAGAGCUUGCUCUUACGGGUGGCGAGUGGCGGACGGGUGAGGAAUACAUCGGAAUCUACUUUUUCGUGGGGGAUAACGUAGGGAAACUUACGCUAAUACCGCAUACGACCUACGGGUGAAAGCAGGGGAUCUUCGGACCUUGCGCGGUUGAAUGAGCCGAUGUCGGAUUAGCUAGUUGGCGGGGUAAAGGCCCACCAAGGCGACGAUCCGUAGCUGGUAUGAGAGGAUGAGCAGACACACUGGCACGGAGAAGCGGCAGGGACUAUUACGGAAGGGAGCAGGGGUGAAUAGUGUAAAAUGGGGGAAAGAAUGAUGCUGUCAGGAUCCGUGAGGGAUGUAGGCGUGAGGGAAGAAAAGCUCUUUUGUCCGGGCAGAUAAUGACGGUACCGGAAGAAGAAGCGACGGCUAACUUCGUG